rnacentral:rRNA from 1 species
AAUCAACGCUGGCGGCGUGCCUAACACAUGCAAGUCGAACGGGAAAACGGGGGCAACUCCGUGAGUAUAGUGGCGUACGGGUGAGUAACACGUGACUACCUACCUUUGAGUGGGGGAUAACCCCGGGAAACCGGGGCUAAUACCGCAUAACAUCGCAAGAUCAAAGAAGCAAUUCGCUUAAAGAGGGGGUCGCGGCUGAUUAGCUAGUUGGUAGGGUAAUGGCCUACCAAGGCGAUGAUCGGUAGCCGGCCUGAGAGGGCGCACGGCCACACUGGAACUGAAACACGGUCCAGACUCCUACGGGAGGCAGCAGUGGGGAAUUUUGCGCAAUGGGGGAAACCCUGACGCAGCAACGCCGCGUGGAGGAUGAAGUCCCUUGGGACGUAAACUCCUUUCGACCGGGACGAUUAUGACGGUACCGGUGGAAGAA